AGGCGGCGCGCGAGAAAAAAGGCGGUGCGUGAGAAAAAAAAGGCGGCGCGCGAGGGAGGGCUGGAAGGGGAAAGAAGCGGAGACUCCUUCUUUCUUUCCCCUUCCCGCCCUCCCUCGCGCGCCGCCCUUCGCGCCGCUUUUUUUCUCGCGCCGCCUU
rnacentral:snoRNA from 1 species